UACGGAGGGAGCUAGCGUUGUUCGGAAUUACUGGGCGUAAAGCGCACGUAGGCGGCUUUGUAAGUUAGAGGUGAAAGCCCGGGGCUCAACCCCGGAAUUGCCUUUAAGACUGCAUCGCUUGAAUCCGGGAGAGGUGAGUGGAAUUCCGAGUGUAGCGGUGAAAUGCGCAGAUAUCAGGAGGAACACCAGCGGCGGAAGGCGGCGCUCUGGGCCGGUACUGACACUGAGGAGCGAAAGCGUGGGGUAGCA
rnacentral:rRNA from 1 species